AACGGAGGGUGCAAGCGUUGUUCGGAAUUACUGGGCGUAAAGCGCGUGCAGGUGGUUUUUUAAGUUUCGUGUGAAAGCCCACAGCUUAACUGUGGAAGUGCACGGAAAACUGGAAAGCUAGAGUACGGGAGAAGAGGGCGGAAUUCCCAGUGUAGAGGUGAAAUUCGUAGAUAUUGGGAGGAACAUCGGCGGCGAAAGCGGCUCUCUAGACCGAUACUGACACUCAUACGCGAGAGCGUGGGUAUCAAACAGG
rnacentral:rRNA from 1 species